CCCUUAGAUGUUCUGGGCUGCACGCGCGCUACAAUGGCGUUUUCAAAAAGAUUGCUAAUCCGAAAGGACCGGCGGAUCUUCGAAGUGGCGUCGUGAUCGGGACAGUUGAUUGCAAUUAUUCGACUCGAACGAGGAAUUCCUUGUAAUCGUGCGUCAUCAGCGCACGCUGAAUACGUCCCUGUUCUUUGUACACACCGCCCGUCGCUCCUACCGAUCGAGCGAUCCAAUGAAUGUUUCGGAGCGGAACUGAGAUGCUAAUGCGUCUCUUUUACGCGAAUUUGUGUGAAUUUGAUCGCUUAGAGGAAGGAGAAGUCGUAACA
rnacentral:rRNA from 1 species